rnacentral:rRNA from 1 species
UACGGGGGGGGCAAGCGUUGUUCGGAAUUACUGGGCGUAAAGGGCUCGUAGGCGGCCAACUAAGUCAUACGUGAAAUCCCUCGGCUUAACCGGGGAACUGCGUCUGAUACUGGAUGGCUUGAGUUCGGGAGAGGGAUGCGGAAUUCCAGGUGUAGCGGUGAAAUGCGUAGAUAUCUGGAGGAACACCGGUGGCGAAGGCGGCAUCCUGGACCGAUACUGACGCUGAGGAGCGAAAGCCAGGGGAGCAGAGGG